GCAUUUUUCAUUCUGACUUGUUUUGUUUUCUUUUCCUGUAGCAUACUGGAGCAAAAUGAAAGAAUUUGUUCUGAGGCCUCAAAAGUAGUGCUGCUACGGACCAUGAGCAAGAAAGGGUGGACUUCAGCCUGCACGGAUGGUCUUGAAACACAAAUAGUUGUGGGUCUAGGCAUUUUACAUUGAGUUUCUCUACUGCCACCCCUUCUACUCAAGCAAAAUCUGUGUGGAAAGAUCCGCUGGGAAGGAACUGACUGCUUAUGUUUCUCCAUUGUGAUGAAAGCACAUGGUACAGUUUUCCAAAGAAAUUAGUCCUUCUUCUGGGUGAAAAGAAACCAGUCUGCUGUUUUCAUAGGGUAUUUCUCACUCCUCUGGAAGGAAGAAAGAACACGCCUGAGCCUAGGAGCGCUCCAGCUUCUUGUGGGAAGUCUCCAUGGUGAAGGCUGAGCCAGGGCUACCUGCGAACGGCGCGCAGUGAAUGUCAUUCCAGAGCUGCCGCCGGCGGAUAGCACCCACGGGGAGAUGAUUCCUCAUGAAGAGCCUGGCUCCCCUACAGAAAUCAAAUGUGACUUUCCAUGUAUCAGACUGAAACCAGAGCCAGCCAGACAGUGAAACAGUCACCG
rnacentral:lncRNA from 1 species